CGGACGGGUGAGUAACGCGUGAGCAACCUGCCUUUCAAAGCGGGAUAACACAGGGAAACUUGUGCUAAUACCGCAUGACGUACAGACUUCGCAUGGAGAUUGUACCAAAAGGGAAACCUGAUGAAAGAUGGGCUCGCGUCUGAUUAGAUAGUUGGUGGGGUAACGGCUCACCAAGUCGACGAUCAGUAGCCGGACUGAGAGGUCGAACGGCCACAUUGGAACUGAGAUACGGUCCAGACUCCUACGGGAGGCAGCAG
rnacentral:rRNA from 1 species